UACGGAGGGUGCAAGCGUUAUCCGGAAUCAUUGGGUUUAAAGGGUCCGCAGGCGGAUUUAUAAGUCAGUGGUGAAAGCCUGAUGCUUAACAUCAGAACUGCCAUUGAUACUGUAAGUCUUGAAUUCGAUCGAAGUGGGCGGAAUAUGACAUGUAGCGGUGAAAUGCUUAGAUAUGUCAUAGAACACCGAUAGCGAAGGCAGCUCACUAGGUCUGGAUUGACGCUCAGGGACGAAAGCGUGGGGAGCAAAC
rnacentral:rRNA from 1 species